rnacentral:rRNA from 1 species
GAUGAACGCUGGCGGAAUGCUUUACACAUGCAAGUCGAGCGGCAGCGCGGGGGCAACCCUGGCGGCGAGCGGCGAACGGGUGAGUAAUACAUCGGAACGUACCCAGUAAUGGGGGAUAACACACCGAAAGGUGUGCUAAUACCGCAUACGCCCUGAGGGGGAAAGGGGGGGAUCGCAAGACCUCUCGUUAUUGGAGCGGCCGAUGGCGGAUUAGCUAGUUGGUAAGGUAAAGGCUCACCAAGGCGACGAUCCGUAGCUGGUCUGAGAGGACGACCAGCCACACUGGAACUGAGACACGGUCCAGACUCCUACGGGAGGCAGCAGUGGGGAAUUUUGGACAAUGGGGGCAACCCUGAUCCAGCCAUUCCGCGUGAGUGAAGAAGGCCUUCGGGUUGUAAAGCUCUUUCGGCAGGAACGAAACGGCGCGCUCUAACAUAGCGUGUCAAUGACGGUACCUGAAGAAGAAGCACCGGCUAACUACGUGCCAGCCGCCGCAGUAA